UACGAAGGGGGCUAGCGUUGCUCGGAAUCACUGGGCGUAAAGCGCACGUAGGCGGAUUCUUAAGUCAGGGGUGAAAUCCUGGAGCUCAACUCCAGAACUGCCUUUGAUACUGGGAAUCUCGAGUCCGGGAGAGGUGAGUGGAACUGCGAGUGUAGAGGUGAAAUUCGUAGAUAUUCGCAAGAACACCAGUGGCGAAGGCGGCUCACUGGCCCGGUACUGACGCUGAGGUGCGAAAGCCAGGGGAGCAAAGCGGG
rnacentral:rRNA from 1 species